UACGUAGGGACCAAGCGUUGUUCGGAUUUACUGGGCGUAAAGGGCGCGUAGGCGGCAUGACAAGUCACUUGUGAAAUCUCCGGGCUUAACUCGGAACGGUCAAGUGAUACUGUCGCGCUAGAGUGCGGAAGGGGCAAUCAGAAUUCUUGGUGUAGCGGUGAAAUGCGUAGAUAUCAAGAGGAACACCUGCGGCGAAGGCGGGUUGCUGGGCCGACACUGACGCUGAGGCGCGAAAGCUAGGGGAGCGAACGGG
rnacentral:rRNA from 1 species